rnacentral:rRNA from 1 species
AGGAUAAACGCUGGCGGCGUGCCUAACACAUGCAAGUCGAACGCUCUACGCAAGUAGAGAGUGGCGGACGGGUGAGUAACACGUGGGGAUCUACCGUGAGGUGAGGAAUACCGGCGAGAAAUCGCCGACAAGACCGCAUAGGCUCGAUGCAAGUCGAGCAAAGCUCUUUCGAGAGAGGGAGCGCCACACGAGGAGCCUGCGCCCGAUUAGCUAGCUGGUGGAGUAACGGUUCACCAGGGCGACGAUCGGUAGCUGGUCUGAGAGGACGAUCAGCCACACUGGGAUUGAGAACGGCCCAGACUCCUACGGGGGGCAGCAGUGAGGAAUUUUCGUCAAUGGGGGCAACCCUGAACGAGCAACGCCGCGUGCAGGAAGAAGGUUUUCGGAUCGUAAACUGCUUUUCUCGGGGAAGAGAACGGACGGUACCCGAGGAAUCAGCCCCGGCUAACUACGUGCCAGCAGCCGC